rnacentral:misc_RNA from 1 species
GAAAUGCGAUAAGUAGCGUGAAUUGCAGAAUUCAGUGAAUCAUCGAAUCUUUGAACGCACAUUGCGCCCCUUGGUAUUCCAUGGGGCAUGCCUGUUCGAGCGUCAUUUGUACCCUCAAGCUCUGCUUGGUGUUGGGUGUUUGUCCCGUCUCCGCGCGUGGACUCGCCCCAAAGUGAUUGGCAGCCGGCGUACUGGUCCCGGAGCGCAGCACAUGUCGCGCAAACGAGUGCCUUGGUACGGCGGCGUCCAUAAGCCCCUCUCUCACGCUCUUGACCUCGGAUCAGGUAGGGAUACCCGCUGAACUUAAGC